AUCCAGCUAACAAGUCUCAAAUAGGACAAAAUGCGCGUCUUGGAU
rnacentral:hammerhead_ribozyme from 1 species